rnacentral:rRNA from 1 species
GAUGAACGCUGGCGGCGUGCCUAAUACAUGCAAGUCGAACGGACAGGCGCGGAGCUUGCGGGGUUGACGUGAGCGGCGGGCGGGAGAAAAACACGUAUAUACCGCACUUGUAUGUGGGAUAUAUCCACGGGAAAGCGGCUCUAAUCGCGUAUAAUAUUCUGAUGCACAGGGGGCGAUGGUGAAAGAUGGCGGUGCUAGCACGUCUAGAUGGACCUGCGCCGUAUUAGCUAGUUGGUAAUGUCAAGGCUUAUCAAGGCAAGGAUACGUGAGCGACCUGAGAGAGUGAUCGGCCACACGAGAACUGAGCCACGGUCCAGACUACUAAGGGAGGCAGCAGUAGGGAAUCUUCCGCAAUGGGCGAAAGCCUGACGGAGCAACGCCGCGUGAGUGAUGAAGGUCUUCGGAUCGUAAAACUCUGUUAUUAGGGAAGAACAAAUGUGUAAGUAACUGUGCACGUAUUGACGGUAACUAAUCAGAAAGCCACGGCUAACUACGUG